rnacentral:rRNA from 1 species
AUUGAACGCUGGCGGCAUGCUUUACACAUGCAAGUCGAACGGUAACAGGCCUUCGGGCGCUGACGAGUGGCGAACGGGUGAGUAAUGCAUCGGAACGUGCCCAGUCGUGGGGGAUAACGCAGCGAAAGCUGUGCUAAUACCGCAUACGAUCUGCGGAUGAAAGCGGGGGACCUUCGGGCCUCGCGCGAUUGGAGCGGCCGAUGUCAGAUUAGGUAGUUGGUGGGGUAAAGGCUCACCAAGCCGACGAUCUGUAGCUGGUCUGAGAGGACGACCAGCCACACUGGGACUGAGACACGGCCCAGACUCCUACGGGAGGCAGCAGUGGGGAAUUUUGGACAAUGGGCGCAAGCCUGAUCCAGCAAUGCCGCGUGCAGGAAGAAGGCCUUCGGGUUGUAAACUGCUUUUGUACGGAGCGAAAAGGCUCCCUCUAAUACAGGGGGCUCAUGACGGUACCGUAAGAAUAAGCACCGGCUAACUACGUGCCAGCCGCCGCAGUAAGAC